UGGGAUGUCGUCUAAUGGCAGGACACGAGAUUUUGGAUCUCGUUAUGGUGGUUCGAAUCCACCCGUCCCAGCCA
rnacentral:tRNA from 5 species